GUAUUAAAGGUGUUGCCUGCCCAGUGAAAUAUUUUCAACGGCCGCGGUAUCCUAACCGUGCAAAGGUAGCGUAAUCACUUGUCUUUUAAAUAAAGACUCGUAUGAAAGGCUAAAUGAAGACAAACCUGUCUCUUAUAGUUGACCAGUUAAACUGAUCUUCAAGUACAAAAGCUUGAAUAAACCCAUAAGACGAGAAGACCCUGUGGAGCUUUAAACUGACACUAUCAACAAAUAGCCUAAGUUUUAAGUUGGGGCGACUUCGGAACAAAACAAAACUUCCGAGCACAGAGCCACACACUCCUACCCAGACCAACAAGUCAAAGCACAACAAUGACCCAGUCUCACUGAAUAUCGAACCAAGUUACCCCAGGGAUAACAGCGCCAUCUUCUUCAAGAGUUCAUAUCGACAAGAAGGUUUACGACCUCGAUGUUGGAUCAGGACACCCAAAUGGUGCAGCAG
rnacentral:rRNA from 1 species